rnacentral:rRNA from 1 species
AGUGAACGCUGGCGGCGUGCUUAACACAUGCAAGUCGAACGGAAAGGCCCUGCUUGCAGGGUACUCGAGUGGCGAACGGGUGAGUAACACGUGGGUGAUCUGCCCUGCACUUCGGGAUAAGCCUGGGAAACUGGGUCUAAUACCGGAUAGGACCAUCGUUUAGUGUCGGUGGUGGAAAGUUUUUCGGUGCAGGAUGAGCUCGCGGCCUAUCAGCUUGUUGGUGGGGUAAUGGCCUACCAAGGCGUCGACGGGUAGCCGGCCUGGGAGGGUGGACGGCCACAUUGGGACUGAGACACGGCCCAGACUCCUACGGGAGGCAGCAGUGGGGAAUAUUGCACAAUGGGCGCAAGCCUGAUGCAGCGACGCCGCGUGGGGGAUGAAGGCCUUCGGGUUGUAAACUCCUUUCAACCAUGACGAAGCAUUAUGUGACGGUAGUGGUAGAAGAAGCACCGGCUAACUACGUGCCAGCCGCCGCCGUAA